rnacentral:rRNA from 1 species
CCUACGGGGGGCAGCAGUGAGGAAUAUUGGUCAAUGGACGAGAGUCUGAACCAGCCAAGUAGCGUGAAGGAUGACUGCCCUAUGGGUUGUAAACUUCUUUUAUAUGGGAAUAAAACGUUCCACGUGUGGGAUUUUGUAUGUACCAUAUGAAUAAGGAUCGGCUAACUCCGUGCCAGCAGCCGCGGUAAUACGGAGGGUCCGAGCGUUAUCCGGAUUUAUUGGGUUUAAAGGGAGCGUAGGUGGAUUGUUAAGUCAGUUGUGAAAGUUUGCGGCUCAACCGUAAAAUUGCAGUUGAAACUGGCAGUCUUGAGUACAGUAGAGGUGGGCGGAAUUCGAGGUGUAGCGGUGAAAUGCUUAGAUAUCACGAAGAACUCCGAUUGCGAAGGCAGUUCACUGGACUGCAACUGACACUGAGGCUCGAAAGUGUGGGUAUCAAACAGGAUUAGAUACCCCAGUAGUC